rnacentral:rRNA from 1 species
GACUAACGCUGGCGGCGUGCAUAACACAUGCAAGUCGAACGAUGAAACUUUAAUGAACCCUUCGGGGAGAAUUAAAGCGGAUUAGUGGCGAACGGGUGAGUAACGCGUGAGUAACCUGCCUUACACAAGGGGAUAGCCUUUGGAAACGAAGAAUAAUACCCUAUAAAACCAUAAAAGCACAUGCAAUUAUGGUCAAAGUGAUAGCGGUGUAAGAUGGACUUGCGUCUGAUUAGCUAGUUGGUGAGAUAAAAGCCCACCAAGGCAACGAUCAGUAGCCGGCUUGAGAGAGUGUACGGCCACAUUGGGACUGAGACACGGCCCAGACUCCUACGGGAGGCAGCAGUGGGGAAUUUUGCACAAUGGGGGAAACCCUGAUGCAGCGACGCCGCGUGAUUUAGAAGGCCUUCGGGUUGUAAAAAUCUUUUGUAUAGGAAGAAAAUGACAGUACUAUACGAAUAAGGUCCGGCUAAUUACGUG